GCAUCGGUGGUGCAUGGACACGCGUCAGAGUCAUAAGAUCGAUCUCGUAUGAUUGUAUCAAUGACGAAGCUCGGGGUUCGACUCCCCGUCGAUGCA